rnacentral:rRNA from 1 species
GAUCAUGGCUCAGAUUGAACGCUGGCGGCAUGCCUUACACAUGCAAGUCGAACGGCAGCACGGGAGCUUGCUCCGUGGUGGCGAGUGGCGAACGGGUGAGUAAUACAUCGGAACGUACCCUGAAGUGGGGAUAACGUAGCGAAAGUUACGCUAAUACCGCAUAUUCUGUGAGCAGGAAAGAGGGGGAUCGCAAGACCUCUUGCUUUAGGAGCGGCCGAUGUCGGAUUAGCUAGUUGGUGAGGUAAAGGCUCACCAAGGCGACGAUCCGUAGCGGGUCUGAGAGGAUGAUCCGCCACACUGGGACUGAGACACGGCCCAGACUCCUACGGGAGGCAGCAGUGGGGAAUUUUGGACAAUGGGCGCAAGCCUGAUCCAGCCAUGCCGCGUGAGUGAAGAAGGCCUUCGGGUUGUAAAGCUCUUUCGGUGGGGAAGAAAUUGCUUCGGUUAAUACCUGGAGUAGAUGACGGUACCCGCAUAAGAAGCACCGGCUAACUACGUG